rnacentral:rRNA from 1 species
AUCCGUCAGUUUUGGUGGGGAAGCAAGAGGGGCAAGAGAAAAUCAUGUUGGAUAGCGUGGGAUUUGAUGACUCGAUCAAAAAGUUUGAGAGGAUUGGGAUUCCAGGACAUUAAGAUCUUCAACUUGGCACUUCUGUCCAGACAAGUGUGGAGACUAUUGAAUGAUUCCGCUUCUUUGAGUGCACAAAUUCUUAAAGCAGUUUAUUUUUCACAAGGCUCUGUCCUAGACGCUCAAUUAGGCCCUCAUCCUUCACAGAUCUGGCGUUCUAUACUUGAUGGGAGGGAUGUUAUCACCCAAGGGGCGAUCAGAAGAAUUGGGGAUGGAGCGUCCACGCACAUAUGGAACCAAAGUUGGAUUCCU